rnacentral:lncRNA from 1 species
CUGAGAAUCUUUAUUCGGCCGUGAGGGAUCGAAAUCUUCCACCAAAGUGGAAUCGAAUCUCGAUUCUUCUCUCAAUACUGGACUAGCGGGCACCGGGCACUCGAGCCAGGUAUCAAACUAUCCAACAAUCUAUACCGGUGGGUUGUCAGCUAGUUGCUAAAUUGUCUUCUAAUUGUCUCCCAUGCCAAGGCACACUGAUAAUCUUCAUGUGCUGUGGGUUCUCUUUGGCUAUGGAUGACCCUUAAUCCAAACUUUUCUUGCAUGGCCCAGUUGUGGAAGAUCAGUUUUCUUAAGAUGAACAUCAAUGCUUUCACUUGAUUCAGUUUGAGGAUGGUAAGAAAUCAAAAGGGCAUCAUCAAAACCAAAUUGUAGUUGAAGGUUUUAACCACAUUUGUUCAAAUUUGGAAGUCUUCUCAUUCACAUGCUUGGUAAUAAAAUGGGGGUAAAAAUAGGCUUUGUGUCAACAUGGUCACUUAUGAAGUGUAGUCAUCUUUUUUGACACAUUUCGUUAGGAUUCUUGUCGUAUAUGCCGAUGAGCAUAAGAAAGUGACGGCAUUUCAAAGAUGAGAUCGAGACUAAGGGGUCGAUGACUCGGUGAGGGGUGGUACUAGCCUUCCUGACAUGAUUAAGGAGACUGUAACAACGAGGUUGUGGCAGCUGAUGAUAUGGAGGAUGAAUGUAGAACGAGAUUCGGGCAUUGGUUGGAAGAAAGUGCUACGGCAUUUCAAAAAUGGGAUCGAGACUGAGAGGUCGAUGACUUGGUAGGGAUGGUACUAGCCUUCCUGUCAUGAUUUAGGAUACUAUAACGAGGUUGUGGCAGCCGAUGAUAUGGAGGAUGAAUUUAGAAUGGGAUUCGGGCAUUGAUUGAUGUUUACGUGUGUAUGCUAAUGUGGAAUCUACAAGGCUACAAGGAAUAAUGUACCAUCAUUGCGAACAAUUACAUAGAUGGAUUAGUUUGACUGUCAACUUUAAUGGUCAAAUAACGGGACUGUCUCAUUUUGUGCCAUUUUAUGACUUUUGGAAACAAUGUGUCAAUUUCUACAAUCACAGCAAAGAUUAUGGUACGAAACCGAAAGGUG